rnacentral:lncRNA from 1 species
AGUUCAUUGGAAAUUUCUGCUUCUUUGAGACUGAGGUUAUAUUCCACUUCUUCUGACUACACCACCACCAUCAAUCUCCUUCUCUGAACUCUUGGAUCAUUACUUCAACCUGAAACAACUCAUCAGGCAGAAUAGUUGCCUACUGCCCCAACCCCACCAAAUGUUCCAGCACCUCUGAUAUUACCUCACAUGGCAAGAGGGCUUUGAAGAUGUGAUUGAGUCAAGGAUCUUGAAUGGGGAGAUUAUCCUGAAUUAUUCAGCUGGACCCAGUGUAAUCACAAAGGUUUUUCAAAGAUGGAAGAGAGGCAGAAGAGCCAGAAAAGGAUAUGUGACAAUGGAGUCAGUGUCAGAGUUGGAGUGACGUGAUGUGAGAAGGAUUCAACCUGCUGUUUCUGGCUUUGAGGAUGAAAGAAGGGGCCAUGAGCCAAGCAAUACAGGUGGCUUCUUUCAAGAAGUUGGAAAAGUUGUAGAGACGGGAUUUCUCCAUGUUGGUCAGGCUGGUCUCGAACUCCUGACCUCAGGUGAUCUGCCCACCCCAGCCUCCCAAAGUGCUGGGAUUACAUGUGUGAGCCACCACACCCAGCCCUUAAAAAAUUACUUCUUGGAGUGGGUUGUAUUUAAAUUUUUUAAAAACCACCAAUGAAGUGGUUAAGAAUAUAGGCUUUAGCAACAGGGCUACCUGAGUUUAUUCUCAGUUCUUUAUUUUACCAGCUCUGUGAUCUUGAGUAUAUUACUUACUGUUUUUACCUCAGUUACCUCAUUUAUAGGAUCCUAUCUCAUAGGGACUUUUGAGGAGUAAAUGAAUUCAUUCAAGUUAAGCACUUUGAACAGUGCCUUAGUAAUUAACAAUUAGCUAAUGUUACUUUCCCAAUGUUAUGUGGGUUAGUAAGUGGUAAAACCUACCAGAUUCCCAUUCUGUCUGACAAAGUCUAGUCUCUUAGCUACUGUGUGUCGCUGCCUGAGUGUGAAAUCUAAAGCAAUUUUAAGUAAUUUUGUCGCUAGUUACUGUAUUACUGGAAAAUGUAUUCCUAGGCUUUAAGAUUUGGGAAGCGUGUGAGUCUAACUUCUCAAACAGAAUUUGACAAGGACGUAGCAGUGUUUUAAAAAGUCAGGGAAAGGAAAGAGGUGUGUUCAGCAUUCCUGCCCCAUCUUAACAUAUUCUUUUUCUCGUCUUAACAGUGGUAAUAUUUUAUGUUAUUUUGGUUUGAUUUUUGUUUGUGGCAUAUGGCUCUGCUGUCCUGUGACUCUAAGUAGAAGAGAAAAUAGUGCCAAUAAUUCUUCAUGGAGAUGCACCUCUCUCAAGUCUUGAACAAUGUUUGAGAGGAAAAGUGCUUUCAGCUGGGCUGAUGAGAACACCUUGGCACUCUUUCCUGCAAUGGGCACUGAUUGAGGGUCUUCCUGGUGUGGCAUCAUCAAAUCCCUGUUGCUCAAACCCACUAAUUAGCUCAUUCUUAUCUACAAGUAGCAGGGGCCCUAAAGCUCUCUGAGAAGAUCUCAUACUGUGUCUCCUACAUUUCAUCUUCUAUAAUCUCUUAUUCUUAGAGACAGAAAGAUGGUUAAAAGACAUCACUUCAUUUCUUUCUCUGGAUUUGGAAAGAGUUAUAUAUUGGGAUUAUGCUGUUAGUUUACACUUGCAUUGUUUAAAUUAGAGGAAAGGUUAUUUUGUGCAGAACAAAUAAAAAUUACUCUUUAACUACCUUUCAGAAUAUCCCAACUUUUAACAUAAGCUGUUUUGUAAAGGCUGGUUGUAGUGACUUGCUUCAUAAUAGACUAUUAAAAUAAGAUGCAUUGAAAUCUUGUUCUUUUCUUUGCAAUACCAUGUAUCAGCUUUGUUUUGAGAGGCAAACUCAAUUUUCCCCUGAAAUUAGGAAAUUACUGUAAGGGACUGGAAUGACACACAAGAAAAGAUUACAUCAUAGCAGGGAGACUAGCCAGUUAGAAUGGGGAUUUCUUUACAAACACUAGACUGGACUAUGGAUUAUAAUUUACCUAGUGUUAAUAGUUGCAGUCAUACAUUAAGGACAAUAUGUAUGUUCUUUAGUUUUUUGUCACUGAGCAGAGGUAGAAACAGGGAAACAACAAAGGCCGAAUAAUUUCCAGCCAUUG